rnacentral:rRNA from 1 species
CUGGGAACGUCUGGGGAGGACUGCCGGUGAUAAACCGGAGGAAGGCGGGGAUGACGUCAAGUCCUCAUGGCCCUUACAUCCCGGGCUACACACGUGCUACAAUGGCAGGUACAGAGGGCUGCGAAGCCGCGAGGUGGAGCGAAUCCCAGAAAACCUGUCUCAGUCCGGAUUGAAGUCUGCAACUCGACUUCAUGAAGGCGGAAUCGCUAGUAACCGCGAAUCAGCAGGUCGCGGUGAAUACGUUCCCGGGUCUU